GUGGGCUGAGUCCGAAAAGAGAGUCAGCGAAGGGAGAUAGGGGUGGGGCCGUUUUAUAGGAUUUGGGAAGGUAAUGGAAAAUUAGUCAAAGGGGGUUGUUCUCUGGUGGGCAGGGGUGGGGGGUCACAAGGUGCUCAGUGGGGGAGCUUCUGAGCCAGGAGAAGGAAAUUCGCAGGGUUAAUCACUCAGUUAAGGUGGGGCAGGAACAAAUCACAAUAGUGGAAUGUCAUCAGUUAAGGCGGGGCAGGGCCUUUUCACUUCUUUUGUGAUUCUUCAGUUACUUCAGGCCAUCUGGGCGUAUACGUGCAAGUCACAGGGGAUGCGAUGGCUUGGCUUGGGCUCAGAGGCCUGACAUUCCUGCCUUCUUAUAUUAAUAAGAAAAAUAAAACAAAAUAGUGUUGAAGUGUUGAGGCGGCAAAAAUUUUUGGGGGUGUUAUGGAGAGAGAAUGGGUGAUGUUUCUCAGAGCUGCUUCAAGUGGGAUUAGGGGCGGCGUGGGAACCUAGAGUGGGAGAGAUUAAGCUGAAGGGAGGUCUUGUGGUAAGGGGUGAUAUUGUGGGGAUGUAAGAAGAAACAUUUGUCAUAUAGAAUGAUUGGUGAUGGCCUGGAUACGGUUUUGUAUGAAUUGAAAAACUAAAUGGAAUAUGAGAAGGCGAAAAACAGGUAUAAAAGGACUAAGAAUUGGGAGGACCUAGGCCAUCUAAUUAGAGAGUGCCUAAGGAGAUUCAGCAUAGUCCUGCCGGCAAAGAUUAUUUAUUUACUUCAAGAGUUUAGAGUGGCAGUUUGGGGAUAGCACUAGGAGAUAUCACCUGUGAUGUCUUGGAGAAAGAGUGUAAACCGGCAGUGUAAACAAGAGCAGGGCAUGUGUGAGUAGUUGAGAACAGUGAAUAGGAGUAUGACUAACAGAUGAGGAUGAAAUUUGGGCUUGACUGAAGUAAUGGGGGCUGUCUGUGAAGCCUUGCAGCAGUACAGCCCAGGUAAUUUGCUGAGCCUAAUGGGUGUCAGGGUCAGUCUAAGUGAAGGCAAAGAGAGGCUGGGAUGAAGGGUGCAAGGAAUAGUAAAGAAAGCAUGUUUGAGAUCCAGAACAGAAUAAUGGGUAGUAGAGGGAGGUAUUGAGGAUAGGAGAGUCUAUGGGUUUGGCACCACGGGGUGGAUAGGCAAAACAAUUUGGUUGAUAAGGCGCAGAUUCUGAACUAACUUGUAAGGCUUGUCUGGUUUUAGGACAGGUAAAAUGGGGGAAUGGUAAGGAGAGUUUAUAAGCUUUAAAAGGCCACGCUGUAGCAGGCGAGUGAUAACAGGUUUUAAUCUUUUUAAAGCGUGCUGUGGGAUGGGAUAUUGGCGUUGAGCGGGGUAAGGGUGAUUAGGUUUUAAUGGGAUGGUAAGGGGCAUGUGAUCGGUUGCCAGGGAAGGAGUAGAGAUGUCCCAUACUUGCGGGUUAAGGUGGGGGGAUAUGAGAGGAAGACGCGAAGGAGGCUUUGGGUUGGGGAGAAGGGCGGCAAUGAGAUGUGGCUGUAGUCCAGGAAUAGUCAGGGAAGCAGAUAACUUAGUUAAAGUGUCUCAGCCUAAUAAGGGAACUGGGCAGGUGGGGAUAACGAAAAAGGAGUGCUUAAAAGAGUAUUGUCUAAGUUGGCACCAGAGUUGGGGAGUUUUAAGAGGUUUAGAAGCCUGGCUGUUAAUACCCACAACAGUUAUGGAGGCAAGGGAAACAGGCCCUUGAAAAGAAGGUAAUGUGGAGUGGGUAGCCUCCGUAUUGAUUAAGAAGGGGACGGGCUUACCUUCCACUGUGAGAGUUACCCGAAGCUCGGCGUCCAUGAUGGUCUAGGGGGCUUCCGAGGCGAUCGGGCAGUGUCAGUCUUCAGCCGCUAAGCCAAGAAGAUCUGGGAAGGAGUCAGAGAGCCUUGGGCCAGAGUUCCAGGGUCUCUGAGAGUGGCUGCCAGUUUCUAGAUGCUCUUUUCCCACUCCCACCCCACGUGGGGAACCCAGCUCAUCCGGAUCUGCAUGCUCGUAGCUUUCUCCACAGGAGGCUGAGAAGCCACCAAACACAGAGAGGGAUCUGAACGGCUGGGGAUACUUAGUGCCGAUCACAGGGCCCCGCUUCGUAUGCUUUGAAAUGCUUGUAUUUAAGUCAACUCUGUCCCCUCUCCUGGCAGAGUUUUCAGCUGAAGAUGAAAAUGCUGCUAUGGCAUUCCCUGCAGUCCACGUUGCUAGGAGAGGAUGAAUUCAGGAGCUGUGGGCUUUCCAGACUUUCAGUCAGCCCCUGUCAACACCCCUUAAAUAACCAGUGGUAAACUGCCUGUCAGAAUGAUGGAGAGCCACUUGAUUCCCAUUUCCUUCUCUAGGGCACAGACUCUCACCUCAUUGCCAGGCUGGCAGGUCAUUCGUCCAGGCAUCAUAUGGCUAUAAAACCAGUGGUAUUCUUUUUAUUUGAAAUGGGGUGGUAGUAGUGGUGGUGGGGAGACAUAAAUCCUAAGUGGUUCACACAGGAUGCAAAGUGACACAAUUUGUGUGUAUGUAAGAGUGUAUAUGAGUUUGGGGGUGGGAGGGCCUUAUUUUGGGAGAAAAUUCUCCCAAAUGUUGGAGUAUUGGGGGCAAAAAUUCUGUUACUCUGAACAAUGUCUGCAUAACAGUGAAAAUCAGAGGACCGUAAGUAUUGAAAAGUACUGCCAAAAUAAUGGGGUUUGAAGGCAGAUGUGUAUUGAAAAACCCUGAAUGAGAAUAAGGGUGCUGCUGAAUCAGGAGGCAGAAAGGAGGGACUUUCAGCUGGUUCACAUGGAAGAGAUAUGAAAUGCUUUAGACAGUCUGGAAAGGUAGGAAGCAGAUGUGAAAUGAACAGGGGGCAACCUGUUGAGAGCUGUUUUGAGAACUGAGAGAACAGACAUCUCAGUAUGCCUCAAAUAUUGAGCUAGAAAAGAGGCAGCCUAAAGGAGCAUCUAACACAAGCCAAAACAAAACCAAAAUACCUUAAAUCAAGCCCAAAAAAAAAAGACAACAGGAAAGAACCUUCCUCCUGGAAAUAUAAAUGUGGUAGAGGGGUUAAUGAUGGUGCUGUAUAUCAGGAAUGGAAGGUAGGAGCAGCAGGAUUCAGAAUUCUUGGAGUAGAGGUUGAGUGAAGAAGUCAGCUCACUAAAGGGAACUAGAGUAAUGCUUGCAAGGACCUUGUCUGUUUCACAUGCUGGUUGUUCCAUGGUGGCAGAAGUGGGAUCUGAUGUUCUACAUCUUGCAUAACUAAAAAGGUAGCAUGCACUAAACUUGGAAAGAUCUUAAAUCUGUACCCUGAAAAUUAUCCCACAUUCGUGGAAAAAUUAGUAUGCCUAUUAGUAUUGUCACCAUGCAAGAACUGCACUGGCAAUGAAGACAGUGAUGUAAGAAGACAGAAGUGAGUCCAGACACAGGAUCCAUUGUCUAAGCAACUGAUGGGAGAAAUGGCUUCGUGACUGUCCUGAGGCAAUGGUGGUGAGGCAGGAAUUAAACACCUCCCAGGGAUGAAAUGGUGUCACCUUGUAUUGUGUUUCACCUUAAUUAUCUCCAUGAGAACUUCACACAUGUAUUAAAAAAACCCAACAUGACACAUUCGUAAGGUAGUUACUAUCUGUUGCAGAAUUUCAUGUAUUAUAUUUGUGCCCUAAGUUAGCCAUUAUUAUCCCAAUUUUAUAGUUAAGGGAAUGGAAACUCAAAAAACAUAUGGCUUGCUUACAGAGCUACACAACUUGUGGGAGAGGAGCUGGGAUUGGGACUCCAAUUUUGGGACUCUGUGUUCAUCAUGUUUUUUGGUCCCCCAUGUUCCCCUUCUUUAAAUGACUGAGUACAUGUCAUUUCAAAAACUUGUGGCCUUGGGCAAUGGCAGGCAGAAUAGGAAGUAAAUAUGUCUCAUUUUCCCUUUGUGAUUUCUCUAUGGUUCCAUAAAGAAAUAAACACAUUUAAAAGGUUAGCCAUUUGCCUUUGCCUGAGUAAAGUAUAAAGUUUUUUAAAAAAGCAUUUCCAGUUAUUUUGUGUAUUAAUCUAAUGAUGG
rnacentral:lncRNA from 1 species